GGUGAACGCGGUCCCCGGGCUCCGGCUGCGCGCGGCGCGGUGCGGGCGCUGCUUCCAGGCUUCUCGCAGCCGCGGGUCCGGGUGCGGGCGCCGAGAUGCGCCCCUGCUCCUCCUGCUCCUGUCUUCGUCGGCUGCCCUUCGCCUUGUACUUGCUGUCGACACAGCUGCCCCGCGCGCCGACACGGGGCUCCGCCGAGGACGCUGAAGGCAGGUCCCUGUGGUUCCCCUCCGACUUGGCUGAGCUGCGGGAGCUCUCCGAGGUCCUUCGAGACUACCGGAGGGAGCACCAGGCCUACGUGUUCCUGCUCUUCUGCAGUGCCUACCUCUACAAACAGUGCUUUGCCAUCCCCGGCUCCAGCUUCCUGAACGUUUUAGCCGGUGCUUUGUUUGGGCCGUGGCUGGGGCUUCUGCUGUGCUGUGUGUUGACUUCGGUGGGUGCCACGUGCUGCUACCUGCUUUCCAGUAUGUUUGGCAAACAGCUAGUGGUCUCCUACUUUCCUGAUAAAGUGGCCCUGCUGCAGAGCAAGGUGGAGGAGAACAGAAACAGCUUGUUUUUUUUCUUACUGUUUUUGAGACUUUUCCCCAUGACACCAAACUGGUUCUUGAACCUCUCGUCCCCGAUUCUGAACAUCCCCAUUGGGCAGUUCUUCUUCUCUGUGCUUAUCGGUUUGAUCCCCUACAACUUCAUCUGUGUGCAGACAGGCUCCAUCCUGUCAACCCUUACCUCUCUGGAUGCUCUUUUCUCCUGGGAAACUGUCUUGAAGCUGCUGGCCAUCGCUCUGGUGGCCUUAGUUCCUGGAACCCUCAUAAAAAAGUUCAGCCAGAAAGACCUGCAUUUGAACGAAACAAGCAAUGCCAGUCAUCUAAACGGCAGAAAGGCCAUGUGAUCUGGAUUGUUUUGGUUGUGUGUCCCUGGACUCUACUGCUUCUGUGUGUCAUGGGUGUGGUCCUCUACAGCCCCUCCUUGUUUUUUAAUUACCCUCAACGGGUGGCUUGGACAGUAUUCAUCCGGGCGCAGUGUCUCGUCAUGAAGGACACUGUGCUGUAGAAGUGGGAGUCAGAAUCAGUCCAAAACGGUGUUCCAGCUCUCCACUCUCGGGCUUUUUACCAACAUUGUUUUUUAGAAGCCACACUCUCAUUUUCACCGUUCCCCUCUCUCUGCUCAAUUGAUAGUAGGGUAACUAGUAACACUUACUGACUAUAAGGUGGGCAGCAGGGAAACCAGAGGGAUGAAGCAGAGCGCCUGUCUAGGCUAUGACAGAAUAACCAAGAAGAGACUAUAACAAAACAGCGGUGCUCUCUUCCUUCUGUGAUGUGUCCAGCAAGAGCCCCAGAGACCGGCUUUGCCAUCAGUUGCUUUUUCUGGCUGCAGGAAACCCAGUCGUGUGACGUCCUCCUUUCCCCAAGUUCUGACAUGCUGAGAUUUGUGACGGUGGCUCUCAGGAGACAACCAGUACCUUUAGGAAAAGACGACCAAAAGACAGCGAAUUUUUCAGGAAGAGAGAGAAGUUUGCAGUAAUGACAUCAACUCAGCAUCAUCUGGCUACUCCUGAUUCUACAGGACUAAAACCAUUCUCAGGAGUCCUGCCCACCAGCCAGUGAGGACAAGAAUUCUUCAGGUGUGGUCCAGCUCCAGGACAUCUGACCCACCCUGACAAAGGGGCUUGCUUGCAAGGUCUGACAAAGCACAAAACAUUGAACAGGUAGCCUGGGACUCCCAGGCCUUGUAAAGAGCUUCAUUAGUGCCGUUCAGGUAACUGAACCAAGCGCAUCUUCCCUGACACUCGCUGCUAUUCACUAGCCUCUACUUCCACAAGCCUGUCAAUGUGCAAAGGUUCAACAUGCGGGGGAUGGAGCAAAGUGUGGCUGGGCAGCCUUGAAAGCACACCUUUUACCAGCAUUGAGAAAAGAGAAAUGGUGGGGAGUGCGGUUCCCUGAAGACAAUAAGAUGAUCUUUCCCUAGCUCCACUACUAGCACCUGCCUCAGGCAGUGUCCUCCUGUGAGAGGGCACUAAGGAGGCUAAAGGUUAACACUGCCACCAACCCCUGCCCCUUCUGGAACGUGAGAAAAGCUUCCUAGAGCUUUACAUGUGUAGCUGCAAAAUGCUAGUGGCACUAGGACGGCUUAACCUAUACGUUUCUGUUCUAGAGCUGAGUAGACUGUGAACCUUAGUUUGUAAGAAACAAGUAUGCAUGACAAGAGGGCUCACCUUCUGCCAUGGGCCCCUUCCCAGCCGAGCCUCAGGUUCUGUGGAGACUGGAACCUGCAGUACCUGGUGCCACACCCCCAAAUGCACCCUUUGCCCUACGCAGCCAGCACUCCAUCAGCCUUGUUUUUAACCAAAAUACCUCAACAUCUGCUAAGCAAUUUGAAGAGGAAUUGUUAUUCAGAAGACAUCUAGAAAUAGAUGGAAAUCAGAAACAAAUGCCCAUCUGCAACCCAAAUUAAAACGCAUUAUCUUGCAGUCAGUCAAAAACAGAUGCUAAAUGAAUGUGGACAUUCAUCCCAAGGGGGUUAAACUUUCGAUCAACAAUGAAGCUUGAAAUCACAGUCCUGUGAGGUUCAUAGUCAUCAGGACUGAAGAAUUAGUUUUUAAAUUUCCUGAGCUCUUGAUUCACUGCUCUUCAGAAGAGUUCUCAAACACACCAGCUCAAAAUUGUCCUGGGACCUCAGGCAGGCAAUAAGGGGCAAGGCUGGGAUAGAGAAGGCAGUUCUCUUUUUGACCUAAAGACACUGUUCUUCUAUGAAGCCCCUAGUCACUUCUACUGAAAAAUAAACAUAAUGUUUAAUGUGGAACUUUAUUAAACUCCUGACCAUGCA